rnacentral:rRNA from 1 species
GAUGAACGCUGGCGGCGUGCCUAAUACAUGCAAGUCGAGCGAAGCGGGGACGGGUGAGUAACACGUGGAUAACCUCCUAUAAGACUGGGAUAACUUCGGGAAACCGGAGCUAAACCGGAUACUUACAGAUGGAUCCGUGCUGCCUUAGCUAGUUGGUACGGUGACGGCUUACCAAGGCAACGAUGCAUAGCCGAUCUGAGAGGGUGGUCGGCCAAACUGGAACAGGGACACGGCACAGACUCCUACGGGAGGCAGCAGUGGGGAAGCAUCCACAAUGGGCGAAAGCCUAACGUAGCAACGCUGCGUGAGUGAUGAAGGUCUUCGGAUCGUAAAACUCUGUUAUAAGGGAAGCGGUACCUGAUCAAAAAGCCACGGCUAACUACGUGCCAGCAGCCGCGGUAAUAC